rnacentral:rRNA from 1 species
ACGAAAAAUGAAUACCAAGUCUCAAGAGUGAACACGUAAUUCAUUACGAAGUUUAAUUCAUUGAGCAUCAAACUUUUAAAUUGAAGAGUUUGAUCAUGGCUCAGAUUGAACGCUGGCGGCAGGCCUAACACAUGCAAGUCGAACGGUAACAGGAAGCAGCUUGCUGCUUUGCUGACGAGUGGCGGACGGGUGAGUAAUGUCUGGGAAACUGCCUGAUGGAGGGGGAUAACUACUGGAAACGGUGGCUAAUACCGCAUAACGUCGCAAGACCAAAGAGGGGGACCUUCGGGCCUCUUGCCAUCAGAUGUGCCCAGAUGGGAUUAGCUUGUUGGUGAGGUAACGGCUCACCAAGGCGACGAUCCCUAGCUGGUCUGAGAGGAUGACCAGCCACACUGGAACUGAGACACGGUCCAGACUCCUACGGGAGGCAGCAGUGGGGAAUAUUGCACAAUGGGCGCAAGCCUGAUGCAGCCAUGCCGCGUGUAUGAAGAAGGCCUUCGGGUUGUAAAGUACUUUCAGCGGGGAGGAAGGUGUUGUGGUUAAUAACCGCAGCAAUUGACGUUACCCGCAGAAGAAGCACCGGCUAACUCCGUGCCAGCAGCCGCGGUAAUACGGAGGGUGCAAGCGUUAAUCGGAAUUACUGGGCGUAAAGCGCACGCAGGCGGUCUGUCAAGUCGGAUGUGAAAUCCCCGGGCUCAACCUGGGAACUGCAUUCGAAACUGGCAGGCUUGAGUCUUGUAGAGGGGGGUAGAAUUCCAGGUGUAGCGGUGAAAUGCGUAGAGAUCUGGAGGAAUACCGGUGGCGAAGGCGGCCCCCUGGACAAAGACUGACGCUCAGGUGCGAAAGCGUGGGGAGCAAACAGGAUUAGAUACCCUGGUAGUCCACGCCGUAAACGAUGUCUACUUGGAGGUUGUGCCCUUGAGGCGUGGCUUCCGGAGCUAACGCGUUAAGUAGACCGCCUGGGGAGUACGGCCGCAAGGUUAAAACUCAAAUGAAUUGACGGGGGCCCGCACAAGCGGUGGAGCAUGUGGUUUAAUUCGAUGCAACGCGAAGAACCUUACCUGGUCUUGACAUCCACGGAAGUUUUCAGAGAUGAGAAUGUGCCUUCGGGAACCGUGAGACAGGUGCUGCAUGGCUGUCGUCAGCUCGUGUUGUGAAAUGUUGGGUUAAGUCCCGCAACGAGCGCAACCCUUAUCCUUUGUUGCCAGCGGUCCGGCCGGGAACUCAAAGGAGACUGCCAGUGAUAAACUGGAGGAAGGUGGGGAUGACGUCAAGUCAUCAUGGCCCUUACGACCAGGGCUACACACGUGCUACAAUGGCGCAUACAAAGAGAAGCGACCUCGCGAGAGCAAGCGGACCUCAUAAAGUGCGUCGUAGUCCGGAUUGGAGUCUGCAACUCGACUCCAUGAAGUCGGAAUCGCUAGUAAUCGUGGAUCAGAAUGCCACGGUGAAUACGUUCCCGGGCCUUGUACACACCGCNNNNNNNNNNNNNNNNNNNNCGUCACACCAUGGGAGUGGGUUGCAAAAGAAGUAGGUAGCUUAACCUUCGGGAGGGCGCUUACCACUUUGUGAUUCAUGACUGGGGUGAAGUCGUAACAAGGUAACCGUAGGGGAACCUGCGGUUGGAUCACCUCCUUACCUUAAAGAAGCGUACUUUGCAGUGCUCACACAGAUUGUCUGAUGAAAA